rnacentral:rRNA from 1 species
CGCAACCCCUAUUCGUUAGUUGCCAUCAUUCAGUUGGGCACGUCUAGCGAGACUGCCGGUAAUAAACCGGAGGAAGUGGGGAUGACGUCAAAUCAUCAUGCCCCUUAUGACCUGGGCUACACACGUGCUACAAUGGUUGGUACAACGAGUUGCGAGUCGGUGACGGCGAGCUAAUCUCUUAAAGCCAAUCUCAGUUCGGAUUGUAGGCUGCAACUCGCCUACAUGAAGUCGGAAUCGCUAGUAAUCGCGGAUCAGCACGCCGCGGUGAAUACGUUCCCGGGCCUU